rnacentral:rRNA from 1 species
CCUACGGGAGGCAGCAGUGGGGAAUAUUGGACAAUGGGCGCAAGCCUGAUCCAGCCAUACCGCGUGGGUGAAGAAGGCCUUCGGGUUGUAAAGCCCUUUUGUUGGGAAAGAAAUCCAGCUGGUUAAUACCCGGUUGGGAUGACGGUACCCAAAGAAUAAGCACCGGCUAACUUCGUGCCAGCAGCCGCGGUAAUACGAAGGGUGCAAGCGUUACUCGGAAUUACUGGGCGUAAAGCGUGCGUAGGUGGUCGUUUAAGUCUGUUGUGAAAGCCCUGGGCUCAACCUGGGAACUGCAGUGGAAACUGGACGACUAGAGUGUGGUAGAGGGUAGCGGAAUUCCUGGUGUAGCAGUGAAAUGCGUAGAGAUCAGGAGGAACAUCCAUGGCGAAGGCAGCUACCUGAACCAACACUGACACUGAGGCACGAAAGCGUGGGGAGCAAACAGGAUUAGAUACCCUGGUAGUCCACGCCCUAAACGAUGCGAACUGGAUGUUGGGUGCAAUUUGGCACGCAGUAUCGAAGCUAACGCGUUAAGUUCGCCGCCUGGGGAGUACGGUCGCAAGACUGAAACUCAAAUGAAUUGACCGGNNGAGAGNGCGAGACGACGACGAGGAGAGG